GUGAGGAAUAUUGGUCAAUGGGCGGGAGCCUGAACCAGCCAAGUCGCGUGAAGGAAGAAGGAUCUAUGGUUCGUAAACUUCUUUUGCAGGGGAAUAAAGUGCAGGACGUGUCCUGUUUUGUAUGUACCCUGAGAAUAAGGAUCGGCUAACUCCGUGCCAGCAGCCGCGGUAAUACGGAGGAUCCGAGCGUUAUCCGGAUUUAUUGGGUUUAAAGGGUGCGUAGGUGGUUUGAUAAGUCAGCGGUGAAAGUUUGCAGCUUAACUGUAAAAAUGCCGUUGAAACUGUCGGACUUGAGUGUAAAUGAGGUAGGAGGAAUGAGACAAGUAGCGGUGAAAUGCAGAGAUAUCACGCAGAACUCCGAUUGCGAAGGCAGCUUACUAAGCUACAACUGACACUGAAGCACGAAAGCGUGGGGAUCAAACAGGAUUAGAAACCCUAGUAGUCC
rnacentral:rRNA from 1 species